ACCAGCUGGAUGAGGGGACUGAGGCUUCAGUGUGUUAGUAGAACAGGUUAGUGAACUCAGCCCCAGGACCAGCUGGAUGAGGGGACUGAGGCUUCAGUGUGUUAGUAGAACAGGUUAGUGAACUCAGGACCAGCUGGAUGAGGGGACUGAGGCUUCAGUGUGUUAGUAGAACAGGUUUGUGAACUCAGCCCCAGGACCAGCUGGAUGAGGGGACUGAGGCUUCAGUGUGUUAGUAGAACAGGUUUGUGAACUCAGGACCAGCUGGAUGAGGGGACUGAGGCUUCAGUGUGUUAGUAGAACAGGUUAGUGAACUCAGCCCCAGGACCAGCUGGAUGAGGGGACUGAGGCUUCAGUGUGUUAGUAGAACAGGUUAGUGAACUCAGCCCCAGGACCAGCUGGAUGAGGGGACUGAGGCUUCAGUGUGUUAGUAGAACAGGUUAGUGAACUCAGGACCAGCUGGAUGAGGGGACUGAGGCUUCAGUGUGUUAGUAGAACAGGUUAGUGAACUCAGCCCCAGGACCAGCUGGAUGAGGGGACUGAGGCUUCAGUGUGUUAGUAGAACAGGUUUGUGAACUCAGCCCCAGGACCAGCUGGAUGAGGGGACUGAGGCUUCAGUGUGUUAGUAGAACAGGUUAGUGAACUCAGCCCCAGGACCAGCUGGAUGAGGGGACUGAGGCUUCAGUGUGUUAGUAGAACAGGUUUGUGAACUCAGCCCCAGGACCAGCUGGAUGAGGGGACUGAGGCUUCAGUGUGUUAGUAGAACAGGUUUGAGAACUCAGCCCCAGGACCAGCUGGAUGAGG